GCGCUACCUCAUUCAGAUUUGGAAGGCCGUUGGGAUGGAUACUGAUGGAGGGAAGGUGGAGUUUCUGCGGUCGUCGAACGAGAUAAACCGAAUCAAGCUCAUGAGUACUAGCCUCUUGUGAUGGAUAUAGCACAAAGGAAUACGGUUUCAAGGAUAAAAACGUGAAUUAUGGUGUGGUCACAUUAUGGGUCGAAGUGAUGAGGACGAGUUCACUGCAGCACAAAUUUUCUACCCACGCAUGCAAUGUGCUUAUGUGUGGUCUUUAUUUUUUUUGCUUACUGGUAAUUUACAAACAUGUUACCCAGUUUACAACAAGGUCAGGAGAAGAUGUCGAAAAGUGAUCCACUAUCUUCAACUUUUAUGGAAGAUGACGAGGCGAAAGUAAAUUUGAAGAUAAAGAGAGCAUACUGUCCUCCAGAUAUUGUGGAAGGGAAUCCAUGCUUGGAGUAUGUGAAGUACCUCAUUUUACCUUGGUUUAAAAAGUUUGUACUAGAGCGCAGUGCAAAGAAUGGUGGUGACAAUUUUCUCUACAAUCCAAGAGCUUCGAAAGCUUUGAAGAAUUGGUUGCUUACUAUGAAAGUGGAAAGCUACAUCGAGCUGAUAUUAAACCAGCCUUGGCAAAGGCUUUCAAUAAAAUACUAGAGGCACAGAUAUCACUGUUAUAUCAAACCUCUUGAAGCAUUGGAAGGUGAAGAGUCCAGGAAAAGAAGGCAGACCGCUUCUUCAUCAUGCAGGGCUUGUUCAAGCUUUAUCAGAUCAUGUUCUACUUUUUCCUACGAUAGAUAUUUCCCAUCGUCUGAUUGCGCUCUAACAUAC